rnacentral:rRNA from 1 species
GAUGAACGCUGGCGGCGUGCCUAAUACAUGCAAGUCGAGCGAACAGACGAGGAGCUUGCUCCUCUGACGUUAGCGGCGGACGGGUGAGUAACACGUGGAUAACCUACCUAUAAGACUGGGAUAACUUCGGGAAACCGGAGCUAAUACCGGAUAACAUGUUGAACCGCAUGGUUCAACAGUGAAAGACGAUCUUGCUGUCACUUAUAGAUGGAUCCGCGCCGCAUUAGCUAGUUGGUAAGGUAACGGCUUACCAAGGCAACGAUGCGUAGCCGACCUGAGAGGGUGAUCGGCCACACUGGAACUGAGACACGGUCCAGACUCCUACGGGAGGCAGCAGUAGGGAAUCUUCCGCAAUGGGCGAAAGCCUGACGGAGCAACGCCGCGUGAGUGAAGAAGGUCUUCGGAUCGUAAAACUCUGUUAUUAGGGAAGAACAAAUGUGUAAGUAACUAUGCACGUCUUGACGGUACCUAAUCAGAAAGCCACGGCUAACUACGUG